GUGGUUGUAGUUUAGUGGUAGAGCACUUGCCUAGCAUGUAUGAGGCACUGGGUUCAAACCUCAGCAACAUA
rfam:Ictidomys tridecemlineatus contig054019, whole genome shotgun sequence.